GCGGGAGUUGUCUAGUGGUCAUGAUGUCUGCUUUACAUUUGAUAAACGAAUGGAAGCGCAGGAGGUCCAGGGUUCGACCCCCUGCUCUCGUA